rnacentral:rRNA from 1 species
GACGAACGCUGGCGGCGUGCCUAAUACAUGCAAGUCGAACGAGAGCGACCGGUGCUUGCACUGGUCAAUCUAGUGGCGAACGGGUGAGUAACACGUGGGUAACCUGCCCAUCAGAGGGGGAUAACAUCCGGAAACGGAUGCUAAAACCGCAUAGGUCUUCGAACCGCAUGGUUUGAAGAGGAAAAGAGGCGCAAGCUUCUGCUGAUGGAUGGACCCGCGGUGCAUUAGCUAGUUGGUGAGGUAACGGCUCACCAAGGCCGUGAUGCACAGCCGACCUGAGAGGGUGAUCGGCCACAUUGGGACUGAGACACGGCCCAAACUCCUACGGGAGGCAGCAGUAGGGAAUCUUCCGCAAUGGACGCAAGUCUGACGGAGCAACGCCGCGUGAGUGAAGAAGGUUUUCGGAUCGUAAAACUCUGUUGUUAGAGAAGAACAAGUGCUAGAGUAACUGUUAGCGCCUUGACGGUAGCUAACCAGAAAGCCACGGCUAACUACGUG